GACGAACGCUGGCGGCGUGCUUAACACAUGCAAGUCGAACGGUGAAGCGCCUUCCUUUUUGGUGGGUGUGGAUGAGUGGCGAACGGGUGAGUAACACGUGAGUAACCUGCCCCCUUCUUCUGGAUAACCGCAUGAAAGUGUGGCUAAUACGGGAUAUUCUGGGUCUGUCGCAUGAUGGGUCUGGGAAAGAUAUUGUUUCGGUGGGGAAUGGGCUCGCGGCCUAUCAGCUUGUUGGCGGGGUGAUGGCCUACCAAGGCGGUGACGGGUAGCCGGCCUGAGAGGGUGGACGGUCACACUGGGACUGAGACACGGCCCAGACUCCUACGGGAGGCAGCAGUGGGGAAUAUUGCACAAUGGGCGCAAGCCUGAUGCAGCGACGCCGCGUGAGGGAUGGAGGCCUUCGGGUUGUGAACCUCUUUCGCCAGUGAAGCAGGCCUGCCUCGUUUGUGGGUGGGUUGACGGUAGCUGGAUAAGAAGCGCCGGCUAACUACGUG
rnacentral:rRNA from 1 species